UACGGAGGAUGAAAGCGUUAUCCGGAAUUAUUGGGCGUAAAGCGUCCGCAGGUGGCUCAUCAAGUCUGCUGUCAAAGGCAGGGGCUUAACCCCUGAAAGGCAGUGGAAACUGGGGAGCUAGAGUGCAGUAGGGGUAGAGGGAAUUCCCGGUGUAGCGGUGAAAUGCGUAGAGAUCGGGAAGAACAUCGGUGGCGAAAGCGCUCUGCUGGACUGCAACUGACACUAAAGGACGAAAGCUAGGGGAGCGAAUGGG
rnacentral:rRNA from 1 species